rnacentral:lncRNA from 1 species
CCGGCUCAUCUUGUGUGAGGAUCACAGUUUUUGUUCCCCAAUAUCUAGCUCCACCCUGAGCACACAAGAAAUGGUCUCUUGGAAGACACAGCCACGAAGGACCAMCAGAGUCCAGAGGAUGCCCUACUUGGAGCACUGGCUGCAUCCACCUGUCAGGAGCACCCCAAACUUGCAGACAGCAGCCUGACUUCUGUGGCUCCGGACCCCAUUCAGCCAUUUUUGAGUUUACAUAAAUGGAAUUCUGACCGACGCAUCCUUUCGUCUUCUUGUGCUCAGUAUUAUGUGUGUGACGUUCAUCCUUUUCUUCCUUUUUUUUAGGUGGUGUGGGGGAUGAACCCCAAGCCUCCGGGUGCCAGCAGUGGUCUGCCGCUGCAUCCUCAAUCUUGACCCAUUUUUUACACAAAGCAGUUUUUCUUCUCUCAUGUUGUGUUGGAUAAAGACGCCCAGUUCAGCUCCUUCCUGUGCGGACGCCGGUGCGGAGUCCGCUCUGGGACUGUCACACGCAGUGCCGUGAGGAGCCUCUCUGACCACAGCUGCACCACCUCCAGGCGGAGUUUCGGUGAGGAACAGGCCCGGAGUGGAACCGCCGGUGCGGGGCGGGCGACUCCACGAGGCGCCUUCCAGCGCUCACCCUGACUCACACCCCGCGCCCGGCCCGGCCGCCGCCCGAGGAAACACGAGAGGUCGGGGCGAAGGAGGAGGUCGACGAGGGACUGAGUCCGCGGGGGGGGGGGUGGCGUCCCACGCACGGCGCUGACGUCGCGGGGCGGCGCGGGGUGGAAGGUCGUGAGCUCCCGCUCCCUUCCUCACGGCGGCCGGCCGGUCGAGCCGGGACCUCUCGGGACGCCAACAUCCGGGUGCCGAGGGGCGCAGGCGCAGUCGCCGCAAACAUGGCUGCGGCCGGCCGCCGGCGAAACGCAGCCAGACUGUGCGGGGACUCCCAGACUGACCCGUGCCCUGGCGCCCUGAGAUCGCCGCGCCUUUCCUGGGGUCCAUCCUUUUGGCCACGCGUGAUCCGUCUUCUGUGCUGCACUUCAGAGUAAGUUGUAGAUGACACUUGUCAGACACCUUCCUCUGCUUMGCAUGGGUUAGAGUUCAGGAUUGUUUCUAAUUUUUUAAGGAAAAACUGACUUUCAGUGAAAUGCCUAGAUCUUCGUGGCAUAGUCGGACUGAUUUUGACAAAAUUACCACCAUGGAAAGAUCCCUUAUUCUUUGCCAAUUUAAAAAAUGUGGUUGGUAGGAACUAGGCUUGAAAAAAUUUUUUUUCAGUAUAGAGAAUUGAACCCAGGGCCUUGUACAUGUUAGGAAUGCUCCACUGAGCAGGACCCCAGCCCUAAAAAUGUUUUAAGUACCAUGCUUUGUUCUUCCCUCCCCUAUAACAGGUAAAUUAUUCUUUUCUUUCUCUCUCUCUCUCUCUCUUUCUUUCUUUUUCUUUUUUUUUUUUUUUUGGUAGUAUUGAACCCAAGGGCACUUAACCACUGAACCAUAUCCCCAGACCUUUUUAGUACUUUUUUUUCGUGGGGGUAGGUACCUGGGAUUAAACCCAGGGGCGCUCCACCAUUGAGCCACAUACCCAGCCCUAUUUUUUUGUAUUUUAUUUAGAGACAGGGUCUCAAUGAGUUCCUUAGUGCCUUGCUGUUGCUGAGGUUGGCUUUGAACUUGCAAUCCUCUGCCUCAGCCUCCGGAGUGGCUCGGAUUACAGGCGUGCACCACUGUGCCCGACUUAGUUUUUAUUUUGAGACAGGGUUUUGCUUAGUUACUGAGGCUGGCUUUGAACUUGCAAUCCUCCUGCCUCUGCCUCCUGAGCUGCUGGGAUUACAAGUGUGCCCCACUGUGCUCCGUGAAUUUUACUCUUUUUCUAUUGCUUGUUUUCUUUCUACACCUAGCUUUCCUGCCUCCUCCACUCCGUUCCCCCGCCCUUCCCCCCAGUCUUUUAUUUUUAAAGUUUUACACCUGCAAAAAAGCUGCAGGAACAGUUUAGUGAACACUUGUAAUGUCAUCCAGGUUCUCAGGUUAUUAACAGUUUACCACAUAAGCUUUACU